rnacentral:lncRNA from 1 species
CCACAUCAAAUUUGGAAUCGUGUUUCUCAAAUAGAGGUGUUUGAGCAUCUUGUUAUGAAAUAUAAAACCCCAAAAGAGUUCUUGAUUUCAUUUAAGCGAUAACUCGAGAUUUGCCAUCGUUUAACAGAAAAACCGAGUUUUGAAAGAUAAAUCGUUUACAGUUGUGUUCAAAACUCGAUUUUGGAAGAUGAAAUAGUUUGCAGUAGGGUUUUGAAGCUAGGGUUUUUGUGUGUUCAUGUUUAUCCUCAUCUGAGUUUAAUCAGGAACACAAAUAUGAAGGAGGAAAUCGUGGGUUCAUUUUUAUCUUCAUCAGCUUCGGUUUCAAGAACACAACUGCAAAAUCGAGGUUUGAAGAUAGGAUUUUUGUGUGCUCAUCAGCUCAUGUUUAUCUUCAUACAUGUUUGUUUUCUGCAUAUCUGAAGGAGGAAAUUGAUUUCAGGAGCACAAAUCUAAAGGAGGUAAUCGUGGGUUUAUCCAUGUUCAUCAUCUCCAUUAACGAACCUACAACACCUUGGAAUAACAUGACAACCAUCGGAAAUCAUCACCACUACUGCCAUCAAGAACUAUCACACCUACACCUUUAUCUUCAUUUACCAUCAUUCGAACACCCAUUUUAUUGUUGUCGGUUUGAAAUUCGUGGAAAAGGUCCAAGGGGACCUGCUUGAGAAAUUAGAGUAGCUGUUAUAUAGGGGCAGGGAGGAACAAACCAUGGUGCCAUUUGAUACCAUGGGAAUGGCCAGGAACAAUUACCAGAUCUAGAAUCAGAGAAAUGUCCAUAGCCCCUACCUCGUCCUCGUUGAGUACCUUGACCCUGGUGAUUUCUGCGGUAGUUACCCCGACCUCAUGAAGUAUUUCCGGUAUUAUUGUUAUCCGACGAAGGAGAGAUGUUGUCAGAGGAAGAGUCAGUCAUCUUCAGAUUGAUCAUGGCUUGCGGUGUAGGGGUGGCAUGCUUGUUGCGUCGCUUUUCUUCUAGGACAUGUUGGGAACAUGAUUUAUUGAAACUUACAAGUGGUUCGGUUUUUUGUAUCAUAGUUGCAACAGUAUCAUAAGCACCCAGUGUGAGACGAGAAAUCAUUUAAAGGAUCAUUUUAGUUUCUGAAUUAGGAUUACCUAUGUUGGCAAGUUGAUCAGACAAGUUUUUGAAACGAGAGUAAUAGUCAUGAACAUUGGAGAAGGAUUCAAGUAGACUAGAAUUAAAUGGUUCUUCGAUGUAGACAGUGCAUGUGGCUCGAUUGUCUUGGUAGAUCUCCUGGAGUCAGUUCCAUAAAUUUUGAGCGGAUGCACCCAGUUUCAUGUUUGAUUACCAACGAUUAUAAGAGAUAGUGACAUAAAUCCACUAUUUGACAAUGGCGUCUAAGCGAAGCCAAGUGGAGUCAUCAAUAUAUUUGGGGUGUGGAACAUCGGGGUUUAUGUGAUUUGAACAUUAUAUGUGCAAACAUGAAUAUUCAAAAGUUCCAUCAAUAAGGCAUAGUGAUCGUCAGUUCAUUCAAGGAUAACAGGAAUGGUGUUCCUGAUGUUGUUGACAUUGAAUGCUGGGUGAAAAGGUGUUUUGGAGACUGAGGAAGAAGAAUCAUCAAUUGCAGGUAUUCCCGACAUAGCGGAAGAAGAUGAUGAGAACAGAGGAUGUAAAUGGCAGUAGAAUAGGCGUUGUAUGGGAUAAGAAAAAUAGGGUUUUUAGGUAUACAACUCUGAUACCAUAAUACAAAACGUAUUUCCCUUUCUUUUCCAUUAAAUCCAAUUGAGUAUAAAUACAAUGAAUUGGUAUCUCUCUAUUCUAGGAAGAGAUCACAACCAAAUAUAAAAUACAAUAUAAAAUGCAAUAUACAUAUAUUUGUUAAUACAUAUACCCAAGUGUCCUUUUCACUGUUCUACUAACAUGAUCCACUGCUUUAUCUUUCGACCCUGACUUUAACAAACCCAAAUCUGCCACUUUCGUCACAAUAUUCUCAUCGAUCAAAAUAUUAGUUGAUUUCACCUCGCGAUUGAUGGGUUUUAUGCAAAACAAACAAAACUUAAACUCUUAAGUGUGCAUGAAACCCUAAUAAAGAUCUAUGUUUUCUCUAUUAAAUGUAUAACUAUGAACACCAAAAGGAAACCCUAAGAACACUAGGCUAUUUUCGAAAAUUCCAAAUUAGGGUUAAGGAUUACAUACCUUCAUUGUUAUUGUACCAAUUAACAAUGAACACCUUCUUGUUGAUCUCUUCGAAUCAAGCACCACAAUUGUCGUGCCUGUAAUGGAAUCACACCAAAGCUAGCAAGAGGAUGAAUAUAGAGAGAGGAGAAGGGAUAGCCAAAUUAAUCUAAGGCUUCUUGAGGGAAAGAUUGCACAAAAAUGUGAAGGGUUAGGUCCUUUAUGUAGCUCGCACGGUUUGCACCUCUGUCUAGAUAAUGCAACCCUUUCGCUGCACCAAUGCAAAUUUCUAAAUGUUGUUUCCAUGGUAAAUUAGGGUUGUUUCCUUUGUAUAAAUGAUCAUGUAAUGUCCCAUGAGACAUGUAAUCAUACACAAGUACCAUUUCACCCUCUUCAUCGCAGUAUCUGAUUAAAGACACAAGUUGGACAUGCCGUAAUAUUGAAAGCAAUCCGGUUUCGUUAGGAAUUUAUGAAAACCUUGUUUCGAUAACAUGUUUAGUCAUUUAAUUGCAACAAUUGUUGUAUCAUUGUCGACGUGCCCUAUGUACACCAUACCAAACCCUCUUCUCCAGAUUACAUGAGUUUCUUCGAAUUCUCUGGUGAAUUGUAAACCGGUGACACCUAUCAGACGGGAUGCCGAAAUCUUUAGAUUUUUUCUCAUCGGAUGACUUGUCGCCAGAGCGUUUCACUCGUCGGAAAAUGUUGAAACCUAAAAUCAACAACAUAAGUCCUAACGCUCUGCCAAUGGCACUAAUUUUGGCUACGUAUGGUGGAGUUCUCUUUUCUCCGGAAGGCGAUGGUUGUGGUGGAGAUGGUGAUGUAGGGUGGAGCUUUGGGUUGGGGCCAGCAAGACUACCAUUCUUCCUAAGCUUGAAAACUUCCAAACCAUCACUAUAUUGUGAUCGGGCAUCAAGCUUAGGAUCCAUCGCAAGCCAUAGGUCUUGUUUUCUUCCCCUACCAUCAAAAUCAUACACAAAUACGUAGCGGUGAGCAAACACCGAAGAGACUAAAAAUAAAUCGACAAAACCGCAACAAACUGUAACCAACAAACUGAAACUGAUGCAAAAACCAAUGGUGCGAAUUUUAUUUUUGGAAAACCGAUGGUCUACGGGUCGGUGCAGUUUUUACCAAAAUACCGGUCCAUCAAAACUGAACCGCACCGAAGACUUAUAAAAUAAUAAAUCACUAAUUUAUAUUUAUAUUCUAUAUAAUAUAUACAUAUUUUUUAAAUUAGUAAGAAAUAUUAAUACAUAUUAUAUUUGGACUUUGGACUUUGAUAGUUGGUUUUAGAGUAGGUCACUAAUUAACUAUGUGUUAUAAGGUUAUAACAAGUAAACCAAAAUUCAAUUAUUUUUUUCUUAGUCAACCGUUGUAUACAAAGUCACGUAGAACUUUUCAUUUAUAUAAUUUAUUUUGAACUGAAAAUAAACUUUUACAAAUAAACGGUUUCAAAAAGUGAAAAAAAUGCACCUUACAAGCUUGCAUGCACAUUGUUAUCGUGUUUUUUUUUUAAAUACACCAAAAAACAUGAAAACACCACACCAAAUUUUAGAAGCGUUUUAAAACCGAAACCGUAUCGAUAUAAACCGAAAUCAAAUUUAGAAACCGCAAAACCGAACCAUUGGAAAACCACACCCAACAGUUUUAAGAAUGCAAAAACCACACCUUGCAGUUUGUGGUUCUGUUUGCCAUUGAAACCGCACCGUGUUCACACCUACGAAUACGACAUAAUCCCUAAAAACAGGAAACCCGAUACCUUUAGUCUAGUAAAAUAGAUCAACCAGGGUCGGUCCAUUGGUUUUUCAUGCCAUGAGCAAGAUUAAUUAAGAAUGCCCAUAUAUGUGUAUUCAAGAAGCACAUACUAUAUAAUAUUAUUAAACAUAUUUAUUUAUUAUUUUCUUAUCAAUAACAACUACAACUAUGUUUUCUUGAAAACAUUAAACAAUUUUAUUGUUCUGGACAACGUGAUUCACGAUUUCUAUUUUGCUAAAUUGCUAACCAUUAAUUUCAUCAUAUCGAAUCUCAUUACUCAUUAGAACUGGAACUUUCAUGAGGUAUGAUACAUGACCAUAACUUGCAAUUGAACACAACAAAAAACAUUGUUAAUACAAAAAAUCUAUAAGAUUAAGUGCUACCAUAAGUAACAUAUCUCAUAUGCUAAUUACACCAUAAAAACUAGUCUAGCAAUACUCAAAUCUCAUAAAUCAAGAUCCAUUAUCUCUGUUCAAUCCAAUUUUCCUUUUCUAGUGUGUAAUUAACUGUUUAUACUUCUUUUUUCCAAAAUCAUAGAAACCUUGAAUAAUUUGAAGCAACUACUCUUAAAAUCAAGACAAAUACUAAUAUUGAAAGAACAAUAAUUCAAAUGGUGAAAUAUAACUCAAAAAGGUGAUGUAUCUGCAUCAUGGGGUGACCAACUUUUUUAUGAUGGUUUUAAAAUGCAUGUUACAAAUUUGCCACACCAUAUCACAAUUUCCAUCUACAAUGAUAUAUAGCUUUCUCAUCAAAUGUUGAGGAGUAUACAUGAAAAGAAAAUAGUUUUAUCAAAAAGUUGAAUGAUGAACACAACUCAAAAAAUAACUAAAAAUUAAAAUAGAAAUUUUAUUGAAGCUAGUCUAACACAAAAUCAAUAAUCCACGGAAAAAAACUGCAUUAACAACAAAUAGAGUACAAAAGCAACAAUUGAGAAUCAAUAUUUAACAUCAGUAUUUACAAAUAUGUAAAUUAAAAGCAACAAUUGAAAUACCCCAAUGCCUCUGUGGUCCUCAUCCUUGCGUUAUCAGAGAUACAAAUAACUUAAUCUCAAAUUGGAAACCAAAUAUGGGGUAUUUACACUUUCAUGAAGCUAAUCACUAAACAAAAUCAGAAAUCAUGAAACCAUAUCUGAAUCAGAAUUUACAAAGACUCAAAAAAUUAAGUAAGCACACAUCAUAAAAUUUUAGAACCGGAAAUGGGAAACCAAAGUCUUUGAUCUUGGGUUGGAUGUUUGACCGGCGUAUUUCAUGUUUUUUGAUUUAUAAUAUAAAUUUUCGGGUAGUGAAACGAUUUCGAUACCGUUAAUAAAGGCGUAGGAGUUGGGAGAUGGGGUAAAAGUGAAAUUUAAUGAUUGAGUAUUGUUAAAUGGUGGUUGAUAGAUUUACUUGUUUGUUUAGUGACGUCCUCUGAUCUUGUUAUUGCUCUUUUAUAAAUUACAAAAGUAGGUAGGGUAUACAGAUAAAAACAAUUGUUUGCAAGACUAUGAAAACUCUUGGUCAUCGCCUUUUGCCUUAAGCCAGUGGGAACCAUUUUACACUAUGGAAUGUGUAAUUAAAGAGCCACUCGAAAUAACUCAUAUUGUUCAGCAUUUUAUAGACCAUAAAUGGACUAGUCACUUUAUUCACCACCAAUUUACCAUUAUGUUGCUAUUAUGUUGCUAUGGGAUACCCAACUCAAUUCUAAUUUCAUCAUGACUCUGAAUUCCAACUCUAAUACCAUCCUGUUAACAAAUUCUAAUUCAAAUCCCAACCCACAACCAUUUUCAAUCGCAAACUGAAUUUAAUUAACCUUUUUCAAAAUGUUCAAGAAAGCCAACUCAAAUCCCAGCUCGAGUCUCAUUCGAGCGCGGGCCUAAACAUGAGCCCUUCUAAUGCGAAGAGACAAAGCGAAAAGAGAAGCUAAAAGUGUUGGGUCAAAUUUCAACGAUAUACACGGUUUGAGGGAGGAGAUAGUAGUGACAAAUAAAAAAAUUCUAAGAUUACUCAAGGAACAAGAGGUCAACAACUUAAAAUCCUGUAAUAUGAAACUUCUACAUGGAAGACCUGUCUUGGUUUUGGUGGUGAAAGCUGACUCGCUACAAAAAGUAAAUACAUGUUAUAGCUUUGGCAGUGAAAACUCAAAUAAUAAAAAAUAUAUAAUUUGCAAAUUUCAUCUUUCUUUUCUACUAAUAAGUUCACUAUUAGAAAACAACAAAUAGAAUACACUUAAAUAAAAUACGGUUGUAUAGAAAACCUUAUUAUAUAAACAAUAAAUACAGCUCAUUUACUCAUUAAUAGUAGCAUUUUAUUAUCGUUUACUCUAUUAAUAGCAUUUUAUUAUCAGGGGUUAGAAUUGGUGUGGUGUUUUCAAUAUCAAUUUUGUUCUUGCUACAGUUAGGUGGGAAUUAAGUUAACCCGCUAUUUUCAAUUGUUUUCAUCUUCCUAAUUUCUAGUCAUCCGCUGCUAUUUCCAUAUCGUCUUCCCAAAACAUUAAUGCGAGCUACUCAUGAAAACUAAUUACUCUAUCGUUUUCCUAAAGCCGUGAUUUGCAUAGAUCCUGACGACAACACUAACUUCAUGCCUUCAAACGACUCGAGUUUCUCUGUUUUGUCACUUCUCUAAUUUGUUAUUACAUUCAUGCUUGAAAUGGUAACAUUGACCUGUUGAUCAACACUUCACUCAUAUUCAUAACACAUUCUUAUUAGUGAGUCGAUACAGAGAAAUCUUUGAAUUAUUUGUAAGAUCGAACAAAGAUCAGGUUAAACUUGAACUUAUGCAUUUAUUAACCUAAUGUUUCAACAUAUGCAUGAGCCGAUUGUAACCGAUGAUCCUUUAUAUUCCUUAGUUAGUAGUUGGUAAUGAGGGACGAUAUAUUUGGAUCAACAAAGUUCUAGGGAAUGAGCACUAUUUUAUCAUCUAUGUCGACUAAUCUAUGGAUUUGAGACUUCAGAAUUUAAUUAUCACAUAUGUGGUCAUUUGAAAGUAUUCUAUUUUAUGCACAUUUCUUGUAUUUUUAUGCGUGUAUAUUCAUCAUAAACUUAUCUUGGAAAAUGCUACUUAGAGAAUUCUAACUUUCUGGAACUAGCAUGAUAGUAUUAGACUAUUAGUAAUACAUUUACAAAUCAAGUUUAGUUUUCUUAAUUAUUCAAUCGUCCUCGAGAUGGUAACUACUCCUGUCUAACAUACAAGUGUUACAUAAUGAUUUCACUUAUCCACUUUCUCCAACUGUGUGUACUUUCUCAUAUUUAUGAAUAUAAAAUCCAAAUUUAUAGGCUUAUGCCAGAAAAAGUUAAACCAAACAUUAAACAUUAAAUUUCACCAAGAGAAGAUUGAGAAUGCGAUUGGUUUCCACUUUCGAUGCAUAUUUACUUUUCUAUUUGAGGUUCUUGACUGUUUGAUUGAAUUCAAAUUUUAUAUUGAUUAUGUUGUACCAUUUGCCGGUGUGAGAAACCAAUUAAUUCACUUUAAAUAUUCACUGGAGAUUUGGAUUCGCUCCCUCCUUUUCAUCUGAGUUCAAAAGCAAAACUUUAUCCCUUGACCCAAAUCAAACAACGUUGAAGUAAGAUGUGAUUCAUUUUCUUAUUGUUCCGGUAAUUAUCUUUCUUCUUAUUGGUUCAAUCAGAUAUUGAAGCGUGUAUAUACGUUUGAUAAAUUGAGUAAUUACUCUUGUUAAAUACUAGUAUCAUCUACAAGGCACAAUUCAAACUAUUGUGAGUUUUUCCUUCAAGACAAUGCCAUUAGAUUGACUAGAAACAUAGUAAUAAAGUAGAUGAUGAACUUCAUGUGAUUGUGGGAUUUUUGUUCUUCUUUGUUUAUUAUAGAAUCCUACUCUCUUAUCUUGUUUCUAUAACAUUGUACAUUGAACCAUCUACUUGGUUAUAGCAUUGUACUUCCAAUUUUCUUCUUAUCAAGACAUUGUACUUUGAAAUAUGUAAUCCAAUUAUUGCUUUGAAAAUGCAAUGAGUGGAUAAAGUUUUCAAAUACAAUGUUUUAAUACGAAAAUGAAAGUACGUAGGGUGCUAAUAACAAACAAAAAAAUGGUACUACGUUUCUAUUUAUUGCAUUUGAUCCUUUAUUAUAUGUACUAGUUAUUGCAUACUCUAGUAGAUAUCAUUUUUAGAUUAGUGUCGUAGUAGUGGUACUCUAUUAGACAAUGUAAUCUAAUACAUCACUCUAUUAAUUAAUAAGUUCCAACCUUUGUACUAUAUUUGUAGUUUCAAGCGUAUUAGAUUAUUAGAUUAGACUUUUUCUAGUAGUGAAAUUUAAUACUACUAUAUUUUAUUAUGAGUUUUAUAUAAUAUUUCAAGAAUAAAUUAAUAGAAUUUCUAUGUUUUUAUUUGUAGGUAUGCCUCGUGCAACUCAAGCUUUUACUUUUUUCUUAACGAUUUCUAAAGAUAUGUUUUUCUCAAUUUGAAAAAAAUAUUAACACUACAAGAAAUAUACUUUUUAGCGGCGACACUAUUACCGGCGACAAGAGGCUUUACCGGCGACUUUAGAUAAAGUCGCCGGUAAUAGUGCGGCCGCUAAAGGGUUGUCACCCGAAUCCGCACUUUCCCCCUCUGUUGCAUCUCAACCGUUCGAUGAGAUAUCCAAUCCAACGGGUGGGGUGUCUUAUCCUGUCUAACCUAAUACCGGCGACACAGAUGUCGCCGCUAAAGGUUAAAAAAAGUCGUCGCUAAUAGUUCACUGAAAAUGACGUAGUACCCUUCCCUCCAGUUUGUUGCCGGUAAAGGGUCUGGUGUCGCCGCUAUUGCCUCUCGCAGAUAAAAAAAAAACGCACGCAGAACCCUCCUUUCUUCAUUUUCCUUUCUGUUUGCUUCCAAUUUCCUUCACCAUUUCGCCGAUUUCCUCUUUAAUUUGCUUCUUCCAAGCAAAUUCCUCCCCACAUUGUUCCAAGCAAGUAUCUUUAGGUGUGGUUAAAGCCUUUGGGACCAAUUUCUACCUCCAUUUCUUGAAGAAAGGUAAGUUUAUUUGGAGAUUUCAUUUUUAUUUUGUAUGUUAAUUUCGAUUUGUAGCUUUAUCUAGUGAUUGAAUGAUAAUAAAUUGUUCAUAUUCUUGUUUUUGGUGGUGUUGUUUUGGAUUAAAAGCAAGUUAUUUAAUUUUUUGUUUGUGGUUAUUGAAUUGCAAUUAGUUGUAUAGCUUCCAGUUGUAGUUUAGCCUUUAGGGACAUUUGAUGAUUAUUAAAAGUUGAUUUUGAUGACUAAAUUGCAAUACAUUGUUCAAUUUCAGUGAUUUUGGUGGUGUUGUUCAGUUUUUCUGGUGAGGGUAAUUUCGGAUGAAGACUAGUUUUUCCGGCUACAUAUCCGUUGAUUUCCGCCACUACAGGUUCUAUUAUUACUUUUUUUUUGUGAAUUUUGUAUUUAUAUGUGAAAUUAUGUGAAAAUUGUCAUAUGUGAAAAUUAGAUUGUAUAUUUCGUAUUUGUUUGAAUAUAUGUGAAUUUGGUAUAUAUAUUCCAAUGUAUGUGUGUUUCAUGUAUAUGUGGUAUAUUAGUAUUUGGUAGAAAUUAUAUGUAUUUGUUAUAAGUAGAAUGUUAUUGUGUGUAUGUGAAUGUAUGUAUGUUUGUUGUAAAUGUGAUAUAUGAUUGUGAAAGUUUUGUAUUUGGUAUAAAGAGGAUGUUAUUAUGUAUAUAUGUGAAAUUAUGUGUAUUUGGUUUAAGUAGGAUGUUAUUUUGUGUGUAUGUGUAUGUAUUUGUAUUUGGUGUAUAUGUGGUAUAUGUAUGUAAAAGUAUGUGAAUUUCAUCUUCUUAUGUAUUAUGUAAAACUAUGUGGUUUUGGUAUAAGUAGGAUGCUAUAAUUGAAAAAAAAAAAAAAAAAAAUUAUUGUUAUAAUUUAAAAAAAAAAAAAACACAAAAAAAAUUAUAAAAUUGUUUAAAAACUUAUAUACAAAAACUAAAAAGUUUCUAGUUUUUACCCAAGCUAACUCCAAAUUAAUUAACCAAUAAGUUAUAUAGUUAACUUAUAAUCUUCAAAUUAAUUCAUAAGAUUAUAUUUCUAUAACCAAUAAUAAUCGGUUACCAUAAAAUAGGUUAAAGGAUGCUAUAAUUGAAAAAAAAAAAUUAUUGUUAUAAUUGGAAAAAAACACACAAAAAAAGUUAUAAAAUUGUUUAAAAACUUAUUAUAUUUUAAUCUCGACGGUAAAAAAGAACAGCACAACAACAUAAUGUCUAUUAUAAAAUUGUUUAAAAUUUUACAAGUAAUUUUAAUUAAAAUUAAUUAAAAAAUGCAGAAAUAAAAAUUUUUAAUUUACUUUUUUUAUUUUUUAUUACUUAAUUUUUGUAUUAUUUUAGAUGUAAAAAAAAUGUGGAUUGGAAAAAAAAACAAUGGUAAUUCUGUAUACUAAACUCUAAACCCAAAAUUAUGUUUCAGCAACAUCAUGCCUAAUGAUAAAAGCUGGACUACUAAUCCAUAUCGAAACUAUCCCGAGUUCCAAGCAGGACUCAAAGCUUUUAUCGAGAAGUCCAAGUCGCACCUUGAUAGUAAUGGUAAAAUCAGAUGUGCAUGUGAAAAAUGUGAUAACCGUUACUUCAAGUACCCGACUGCAGUUGAACGCCAUAUAUUUAUAAAUGGUUUUAGGUAGAGUAUAAUUAAACUGUUCUUCGAGGUAGACAAUGCAUGUGGCUCGAUUGUCUUGGUAGAUCUCCUGGAGUCAGUUUCACAAAUUUUGAGCGGAUGCACCCGGUUUCAUGUUUGAUUCCCAACGAUUAUAAUAGAUAGUGGCAUAAAUCCACUGUUUGACAAUCGCGUCUAAGUGAAGCCAAGUGGAGUCAUCGAUAUAUUUGUGGUGUGGAACAUCGGGUUUAUGUGAUUUUAACAUUAUAUGUGCAAACAUGAAUAUUGAAAAGUUCCAUCAAUAAGGCAUAGUGACCGUCAGUUCAUUCAAGGAUGACAGGAAUGGUGUUCCUGAUGUUGUUGAAAUUGAAUGCUGGGUGAAAAGGUGUUUUGGAGACUGAGGAAGAAGAAUCAUCAAUUGCAGGUGUUCCCGUCAUAGCGGAAGAAGAUGAUGAGAAC